CAACUUUCAGCAACGGAUCUCUUGGCUCUCGCAUCGAUGAAGAACGCAGCGAAAUGCGAUAAGUAAUGUGAAUUGCAGAAUUCAGUGAAUCAUCGAAUCUUUGAACGCACCUUGCGCUCCUUGGUAUUCCGAGGAGCAUGCCUGUUUG
rnacentral:rRNA from 3 species